GUGCCAGCAGCCGCGGUAAGACGAACCGUGCGAACGUUGUUCGGAAUCACUGGGCUUAAAGGGCGCGUAGGCGGCCCGACAAGUCCGGGGUGAAAGCCCCCAGCUCAACUGGGGAAGUGCCUCGGAUACUGUCGGGCUCGAGGGAGGUAGGGGCAGGGGGAACUUCUGGUGGAGCGGUGAAAUGCGUUGAUAUCAGAAGGAACGCCGGUGGCGAAAGCGCCCUGCUGGAUCUCUACUGACGCUGAGGCGCGAAAGCCAGGGGAGCGAACGGGAUUAGAUACCCCUGUAGUCC
rnacentral:rRNA from 1 species